CAAACCCACAUGCAGAAUCAAGCCCGGAGAUUACUGGUGAAACAGCUGAUGUUGUAUCCAUCAUGUGUGUCUGACAGAGUGAUGUUCUCCUGGAUUUUAGUUGUAAAGGUUCCAUCUGUGUUUUUCUCUGUUUGUCUGAGAGAGUCUUGUUGGAGAUUCCAGGUGAGUUCAGGAGGUGAGUGUGGACAG